rnacentral:rRNA from 1 species
GAUGAACGCUGGCGGCGUGCCUAACACAUGCAAGUCGAGCGGCAGCGAGGGGUGCUUGCACCCUGUCGGCGAGCGGCGGACGGCCGAGUAACGCGUGGGAACGUGCCCCAAAGUGAGGAAUAACUGCCCGAAAGGGUAGCUAAUACCGCAUAUUAUCUUCGGAUCAAAGGAUUUAUCCGCUUUGGGAGCGGCUCGCGUCGGAUUAGGUAGUUGGUGAGGUAAUGGCUCACCAAGCCGACGAUCCGUAGCUGGUCUGAGAGGAUGACCAGCCAGACUGGAACUGAGACACGGUCCAGACUCCUACGGGAGGCAGCAGUGAGGAAUCUUCCACAAUGGGCGAAAGCCUGAUGGAGCAACGCCGCGUGCAGGACGAAGGCCUUCGGGUUGUAAACUGCUUUUAUAAGUGAGGAAUAUGACGGUAACUUAUGAAUAAGGAUCGGCUAACUACGUG